AGGAGAGGCGAGAGUCGGCCGUGCUGCGAUCUCGCAGUCAGUUUUUGCCUUUGACACGCGACGGACGGCGCUGGUCGUGUCGCGAUGCCCGAGUGUGUCAUGUGACACGCGGAACAAGAGUAACCACUGGUCGCUGCGGCACACACACACACACACACAGACAGAGAGAUAGAUAGAUAGUCGCACGGUUCGCGCACCGGGCGAGAGAAAGAAAGGGAGAGAUAAAGAGAUAGAGAGAGAUAGAAAGAGGGUGAGAGAGAGAGAGGGAGAGGACAAUAGCCGGGAAUCGAGGAAACUAAAGAGCUAAGACACGAUCGACACCGAGGAGAGCAGAGGAUUCGCGAAAACGCGAGCUCGUGUUGUCAGGGUGGUGUGUGCGCGCGCGAGGGUGCUUGGUUGCUUGCGUGCGGCGUGAGUGUGUGUGUGCAUGUGUGUGCGUAUGUGCCCCCGAGCGUGUGCUCCUUCGGCGUGCAUGCGUGGCUAGCGUAUGUGCGUGCGGUCUCUGUUCAUUCACGCGGCAAGCCAGCGCCGCUGUGAUCCGGUCUGGCCGUCGUCCUCGAAAGCCGCCCGUUUAUUUGGAUCUCGGUGACGGGCCACCACCAUCACCGUCGUCUACUAUCCCAUCCGAACACCUUUUUCGGUGCUCCCGUACCGCGGUUAGUUCCAUCGGAACCGCGCACAAUUAUGUUACCGGCUCGACGCGGCUACAUCAGCAACAACACCACUGCCGCAGCCGCCAUCAGCGAGACAAGCAACCUCGGUACGUUCGUCAAACACUGGGCCGGAUUUUUCGCGAACGGUUAAGAAACAGACCGGACACACGGGCCCGUGAGCAGUAGCCGCGCUCUGCCCACAAGAGGGGAAGGAGGCGGAAGAGGAGGACAAGACGGCGACCAUCGCGCGGUGUGUCUCUCGCCAUUGUCCGCGGUCGAGAGACACGCACACGCUCGCAAACAGACACACGUACACACACAUACAGGCACAUACACACAGAGAGAGUGAGAGAGAGACGCUGUGUCGGCGCCUCGCGGCUUUGAUCCUCGGUAGAGCCACGGUUUCCCGAUGGUAACCACGUGGUAUAGGACUCUGGAAGAUACGUAACACCUGCGUGUACGAGUGAAAGUGCAACAGGACUAGAGAAGAGUUGCCAGCGAGAAGAAGAAGAAGUAGAAGAAAAAGAAGAAGAAGAAAAAGAGGUCACCGGGAAGAAAAGAGAAUCGUCGGUCUAGGGAUCUCUCGAGGAUCACAGUGAUCAGGACAUGGGAGUUGUUGAUUGUAUGCGUGAAAAUCGUCACGUAACAGCUCAUAGGGAUGAGGGAGCGGGUUUCGGCGUGGGAUCCGUGGUGGUGGUCAAUGAUCGUUCUGCUGACAACGGUACAGGUCGCGGGCACGCAAGAUCAUCUACGUCUUCUUCAGCAGCAGCAGGAACAACAGCAUCGUCCGCCGGAAUCGACGACGUCCCCGUCGCGUCCUGCACAAUGUGCGACGGGUUGCGAGUGCGUGGACGACGGCAGCAGCUUGUUAUGCACGGAUCGAAGCUUCCUCGGGCUAGGGCUGCCGGGCCAGGCCGUGAACGUCGCGCUGCGAAACGUCCGUGCCGCGGUCAUACCGGUGGUGGCUCUCGAAUCUUCGACACGGCUGAAGAGCCUGGUCUGGAUAUCGAGCGGGAUCGAGCGGCUCGAGCCGGGCGUGUUUCGCGCGGCAACGUCCCUCGAGCUGCUGAACCUAGGUGACAAUAGGCUGGCGGAACUGCCGUCGGACGUCUUCCAUCCGUUGCGCCAACUUCAGUACCUGAAUCUCACCGGCAACCGGCUGACCGUGAUAUCUCGGGCGCUGUUCCAGAAUCUGGAGAGCCUCGAGGUGAUCGGUCUGUCACGUAAUCGUCUGCCGGUGCUUCCGUUUCAAACGUUUGGCCAGUCGAAGGGGCUGGCGCGGCUGGACCUGUCCAGAAAUCUGUUGGUCUCCCUGCCGGAUCACACGUUCAGGCCCAAUAUACGGCUCAAGGAGCUGAACCUGUCCGGCAACAGGCUCACCAAGCUCCCGCCCCGUUUGUUCUCCGGCCUGACGCAGCUCAAGAUACUGGAGCUGGCGAACAACGAGAUAGAAACGAUACCGCGCGGCCUAUUCGCCGAUCUCGCGUCGCUGCAACGGCUGGACCUAGCCGGGAAUCCGAUCGUUCGCCUGUCCGGCGCGACGUUUCACAGUCUAACGAACCUGCGAUGGCUCAGCCUCAAGUAUCUACCGAUCACUGUGCUUCCAGAGAACGUGUGGCGGCCGGUCCGGAAGCUGCGCACCUUGCUGCUGUCCGGCGCGAAACUCGAGAUCCUCCGGAACGACGACCUGAAGGGCUUGGACGAGCUGGAGUCGCUGGAGAUCAGCGGCAGCCCGCUGCGAGAGAUCUCGAGGCGGGCCCUGGAUCGCACGCCGGCGCUACGGAAGAUCGAUCUGCGUGACAGCAAUCUGACCUUUCUUCCGGCGAACGUCGCGCAGCUCGCCGCUCUGACCGAGCUGCAGCUGCACGGCAACCCGUGGGCCUGCGACUGCCGCAUGUUCUGGUUCGUGAAAUGGGCCGAGAGCAAGGAACACCUGCGGACCGCGUUCCGCAGCGGUUUCCGUUGCGGCGACGACGAGAUCGACGUCGCCGGCGAUAUCUUUGACACGCUUCGUUACUUGAACUGCACGGCGCCGGUGCUGGCGUACAAGACGCCCGCUCAGCAGCACCUAUUGUUGCACCCGGUGCUGCUCGAGUGCGAGUUCAACGGCAAUCCCACGCCGUCCCUAACGUGGGUCACGCCGAAGCUCCAGGUACUGCACUGGAAUCCAGAUCCAGCUUUCCCAGACGCUUUUGUCGAACAUUCUCCCGUGCACUGCUGGGAACAAAGCCUGCCGUUCGUUGACGAUGGUCGCGUUCGCAUCCUCGAGAAUGGAUCUUUGUACAUCACGACCUUGCUAAGGAAGGAUGUUGGACAAUACAAGUGUUUCGCAGUCAAUCCGAUCGCCAAUGCGACCACCUAUGUUAGUUUGCAGAUGAAUCCGAUUACGUUAGACAAAAUCAAGAUCCUCAGCAUCCUGGUCGGCGCCGCGUGCGCCACGAUCUUUCUUCUUUUAACGCUUCUGGUGCAGCUGCUGCGCUACAUUCUCGUCAGGUGCGGCUGCCUGAAGUGGUGUUCCUGCUGCAGGCGAGUCGGCGCCACGCCCAGGGCUAAGCAAAUCUACCAGAUGCUGGACAGCAUCGAGCAGUACAAGAGCCAGCAGCUGGAGAAGCUGCGCGAGAAUUACACGCAGCAAGUGCACCGGAUCAAGGAGAACUGCGCGCAGCAGGUCGAGUGGAUACGCGACAACUACGAAGGUCAGAUGAGGCAUAUCAGGGACAUAAGGGACUACGGGACGAGCCACCUCACGGCGCUCAGAGAUCAGUAUUACGAUCAGGUGAGAAAAGCGCGGGACUACUCGACCAGCCAGCUGAACUGGGUGCGAGAGAACUACGUCUUCCAACGCAACAAGAUCCGAAAGUUCAGCGCGCACCAGGUGCUCAGGCUGCGCGAGAGCUACAAGUACCAGCAACAGACGUUGAACAAGGUCCUGGAGAACCUGCCGAGCUUCUACUUCGACAACUGUCGCAGCGGCAGCUGCGGCAAGAGCGACUCGAUGGUGUUCGACGGUAAGGAGGACACCUCGUCGGUCCGGGUGGACGCGUACUUCAAGGCGAAGAUCAUCGACUUGACGAACGCCGCCAGCCUGGAGGACGUAAACAGCGAGUACUACACGCCGACCGAGCUGUCCUCGGUGAGCCCGCACGGCUGCGGCAACAUCCUCGAGGGGAUUCACAUCAACUACAUCGAGGACAGCAGGCCGCCGCCUCCGCUUCUGCUGAACGGCAUGGCGCCGCAUCAGCUGAUGCUGCACAGCAUCGAGGAGAACGGCAGCACGUUGUCGGUCUACAGGGACGCGGACCAGAUCAAGCCGGUGUUCCGGGGUCUCAGCACCGACCUGCUGCCCAAAGAGCCGGCUGAGACCUUGGACCUGCUGGCGCCGAGCACCAGCAUGCCGGACCUACCGCGCGAGACCAAGCUCUAGGUCCCUUCUAGAGCCACUUCUAGACGACGCGACGGGUGUGUGUGUGUGCUUUUCGAGGGUACUAACAGAGAGAGAGACGGACUAGAGAAAGAGAGACUGUUUCGCGAAACGAUCGUGGAUCUUGGAUCCGUACUGCCACGUUGGAUCACAAUGCGAGACAGUACACACGCAUACACAGAAGUGCCUCUACACCCGAGAGCGAGACGCGUCGAUUUCUUAGGCGAACCUGGGAGCGGCAUUCCGAUGCAUUUGCAAAAUUCGAAAGAUUAAGAACCACUGCAUCAUCGAUCGAUAAUAAACGGCAUCCGGAGCGAAACCCGACGACGCUUAGAAAAACCUGCGGGAGACGCGGCUUGGGUCCAUUUUGACCGGAUACGUAAUCUGGAUCAAACAGCCGGUUUAAAUUGUUCGCUACUUGUCAAGAAUAUGCGAGAGAGAAACUUAGCGGUGUGUAAGAAUUUGGAUAAGUCUACCGAUGGCUGCCACAAAACCGUCGAAAGCGUCCGUCUAGCGAUGGUUAAUUAGGCUUCGGAAGGUCGGCCGACCGGAAUCAUGCCAAACGACGGAUUAGCCCAUAGUUUCCCAACUUGUCUGGCUCGUGACAACCCUAUCGGUAUUUUGUUUCAUCGACGCCGCCGUUCCGAUGCGUCGAAUCAGUCCUCGAAAUCUCGAAUACCGUAAUUAUUUCAUUUUAAUCCUCGAACGAGCGGCUUAUCAAUUACGAACACACGCGAAGACCGAACGCGAGACAAAUAAAACUGAUGUCAUAAAGAUCACGAUCCACUUAAAUAGAAUACAGAGUACACCAAUGUCUAUUCGAUAAAACGAAGGAAUUGUUCGUUGAAUAAAAAACAUGAAAGUUCUUAAAAGCAAUCUAGUUAUCGUCCUCGGCUGAAAGUCCAGCACUAUAAUUGUAAAAACCUCGCAUUGCCACAUAAAUUGCCACUUAUAAAAGGAAUAAUAAAUGCGUAAAAUUUGAUAUAGUAAACUGAUUGAGAGAACUCAUUGAAAUCGUUCAAGAAAGAAAUUUUUACCUGGCCAGGGUUCGUCGCAAUUCAUAAAGAAAAGGUCUAUUUUGCACGAAGGGUCGAAAUGACUCCUACCCCCGUCCGUUCAAAAUUCGAAUUGAAAAUAAACGAUAAUUGCCGAAAAUUCUGACGACCUCCUAGACCCUUGUUAGGAAACUAUAGGCUAUCUGGAAGCGUUCGUUCACCGAUAAUCCUGUCUAAUGGUUGCUCGAAAUGAUCCUCGAAUCGGACCGCGCGAUUAAUCGUUACCGUUAAACGGUCGUUACCGCUGUUAGGUAAAUGAGUUAGCCGGCGACAGACGUACUUUAUCAGCUCGCCAGGAGUUGGCAGCGAGCUGAAAUACCGCGCGCAGUUCGUCAGAAAGACGAACCCUGAUGUGCUCGCGCGCGCUAUCGAGAGCCCGUGCACUAUAUUUUGUUACGUUAGAAUACUACUACUCGAGCCGCAUAACAAUUUUUGUCGGUGAUCUGAAGUUCCUCUAUGCGAUAAGCACCGAUUAGUCGCGGCGCUUCGAAUGCUUUCCGUAGUCACUACUUCUCCGAGAGUCCCACGAGCCCCCAUGUGGACCCCAUAGGGCCCCGGUCGCGACGGACUCGAACCGCUCAUUCCGCGAACGCGUCACAGGCGUUCUACGGAACUCCUGUUUUUAGUUAAUUAAUAUACAUCGAAUUGACGGAGAAGUCUCAAGAGUUUCGAGUUCCUCGACAUUAGAAUUUCUGGGCCGACAAGAUGGCGGCCGCCGAACUUUUCGCGCCUGUCGAGAUUAUGGGAAUGCUUUUGUGAGAAAUUAGUACCGAUAAUUAAUUAAAAUCUCGCGGAAUAUGAAUAUAGCCUCGUUAGUUUUGUCAUUUUUUUUUCUUUGUUAGAGCAGAUACAAUGAACAAAACUUUCGCGAAUUAAAUGAAUCAUGUUUAUAUUUUAUAAAAUGAAAUUUCGGAUAUUUUUUAAUCAAUAACUAAUGCAAAAUAGCGCAGUUACGGGGGUCCGUGGGGUCUACUGUUGACCGGGAUCAGAAAUUCUACGUGGCACAGUAAAAUGGCGAAAGAUCGCUCGUUAAAAUGGCGUAUUCAAUUAUGCAGCGGCAGUAUUUGAAAACGGAGGUCGCGAUUAACAAUUGUAAAAGCUGAGAAACUUUUCCGACAAUUCAAUUCCAUUGUAAAGUAUUCGCGUUGGUCUAGAGGACCCACUGUUUCGGGCCUGUUUCGGACGGCUCAAAUAAGAGUUUCAGAAUGCAGUCGCUCGCGUAUCUGUAUGAGCCGCAUGAAAUGGAGGAAAGUUCGCGUUCAACCUGUUAAUCGACGAAUUUUUGUUCGAACCAGUCCCUUGCGAGAUAAGUGUCAUUAAAUCCGAGGGAAGAGAACGCAAUGAAAAGUCACCGACGAGUUAACUCGUCCUGCUCGAUUAACAGGCUGAGCCGCCAGAUCCUAUCAACAAUCGCGUCUCUACCAGAGAACUAAUCGCUGUGAUGUUCGCAUGUCAGCUGCUCAGACAAAUGAUUCAAGUCGAAACAAUUGCAACAACAAAAUCCAAGUGUUCAAAAUGAUGUUUAUCUAACCGUGGAGUGGUUCGGUGCUCUGGUUUCAAUCGUUCACCCCGUAGAACUUCGCGGAACUUUUUAAUGAAAAAGCAUGAACCCUUCGUCGACCUGUUCAUUCGAUCAUGCUGUAUUGCAUUUAACGAUGUGUAUUUAUUAACGGACAAAAAAAUCCUGUACCGAUUUAGCGAGUCAAAAAAACUUCGAACGUAGAACGGAAUCGAUUGUACAGAUCUCCCCCGUAACUGAAUAAUUGCAGUUUAACAAUAUCUGUAGAUACUGACACGGCGAACAAAGGCUAAAUGUACGCUAGGAUAAAUAAAAUUGUUAGACCCGGCUUUUGAGAAAACCGCUUCAUUGUAUCCCAGUGGCUUGUUCAAGCUCUUCCGCGAGCGACUGUAUAUACAGGGUGAUUAAUUAUCGAUGAUGCGUCUCGCGGGGAUAAUUCCUCGUUUUCGAAAACGAGUCAAAAGAGUCGAAGCUAAAAUCUUCAGUAACGGGUCUCCUGUAUUCGAGAGGCUGCCAUCCGCCGAAAAAAAGAAACGAAGAAAUCAUGCGCAACCAUCUGGCGCGUUGCUAUAAUCUGAUUCGAUGCUUGCGAGUCAAAAGGAAUAUUCAAAUUAGAUUUUCUCGAAACAGAACCAAGCGCGAGCAAACUUCCUAUUUCUUUGGAGAAUCAUCCCUGUCGGUCGUAUCACCAAUAAUGGCCCGUCGUCGUGUAUAGGGUGGGUCAAAAGUAGAGUCGCAUAAUUACACGGAAAAGAACUUGUUUUCGAACCACGGUUCAAUUUAUAGGGAAUUGAAAUGCUAAAAGAACAAAAAGUAGGGCGCUAACUUCUGGCCCAUCCUGCACGAUUUUAUUUUUGUAGAAGCAAUGUCCCCGUUAUGGUAAAUUCGAGCGUCCUUUCUGUACGCGCAAGCGAUCUUUCUAUUUCUGUUCCUCUAUCGGGAGGUGGAAAAUCAUGGACACACACGAUCGACAUGUAGAUCACGGAUUUUCUGCAGUAGAACCCCCCGAAACUCCGAAACAGAUCCGUAUCUGCGAGCGCGCAAGACGUUCACAGGGCAAAGUCGUUGAAUGAUUUUACAAUUCAAAUGGCAGCGCACGGCCCUGCCGCAGGACCUUUCAGAUCUUUCAAACCUUCCACCCUCCACCCCCCUCCCAAGCCCCUCGAUCAAUUAUGAUUUCCGACAGAGACAUUUGAAUACAUGCUCAAUUUACAGGACAAAUUAAUAAACGGGUUUCUUUAACAA